UCUCCCGUUCACACAUACUACUGUAUAAGAAAACUGAGAAACUGAGAGAAGAAGAAGAAGAAGAAGGAAGAGUGAGUGAGAGAAGAAGAAGGAAGAGUGAGUGAGUGAUGGAUUGUGGUCGCUGCAAAUCAUCAUAUCCAUGGCUAUACUCUGACAAUACCUUCGAAUCCGCCGCCGAUGAAUCUGGGAUCAAUGAAGCCUGGUUAGAGAUCUCUAGCCGCAGAUCGAGAGUCUCCGGCGAAGGUAGUGUGAAGAAGCUGGAGAGGAAGAAGAGCCAGGUGUUGCUCGAAGGUUACGUCGAGACUAGUGCUUCUUCUUCUGCUUUCUCCACGGACGAUGAUCAAAAAGACGAUCUGACGAGAUCCAAGAGUUUGACGGAUGACGAUCUCGAAGAUCUCAAAGGUUGUUUAGAUCUAGGUUUUGGUUUCAGCUACGACGAGAUCCCUGAGCUCUGCAACACUUUGCCUGCUUUAGAGCUUUGCUAUUCCAUGAGCCAGAAGUUCUUAGACGAUAAGCAUCGCUCACCGGAUCAUUCUUCCGCGGACGAUUCUCCGGUCACCUCCCCUGCUCCGAUUGCCAAUUGGAAGAUCUCUAGCCCUGGUGAUAAUCCGGAUGAUGUGAAAGCAAGGCUCAAAUACUGGGCACAAGCCGUUGCAUGUACUGUCCAAUUGUGCAGCUGAAGAAUGAAUCAGAAAAUUCUUGGGUGUGAAGAUGUUCUUACCUGAACAAUAUUUUGUCAGCCAUUGUUAGCUAAAGGAGGAGAGAUCUCAGAAUUCGAAGUAGUUGGCUAGUGAGAGCCUUUCACCUAACUUCGACUGGCCAUGUUUCUGCAGAGGUAACCAAUCUAACUGUGCCUGUUUAACUAAGUGUAAUGCAAUAUGAUUAUUGUCGUCAUGUAAAGCUUAUUGCAUGUGAGAUAUGGAAGCUAGAUUGUUGUCCUUGUGCAGACUUGUCUUACAUGAGAGCUGUCACUAACUGUUUAUAUGGACCUCUACUUGCGGAGUCUUGACUCGUUCCAUUUUUGUGAAUGUUUGUUGAAGAAGCUUACACUAUUGUGGCUUAUUUCCUAAUUUGGCCAUGCUACUGAAUCGUUUAUGAAGAAUCCAAUGGAAGGAAGAAAAGAAAAAGAGUAUUGGAGAUGUUAUGCUGAUUUAGCUUUUCAAAUUACAAAGUCGCCUGAUUUAUGAAAUUCUGAACAUUGAAGUCGUCACAUGUAGCUACCCAUUGCUCUAAAAUGUACUUAUAAGUUUUGCUC